AAUCAACGCUGGCGGCGUGCCUCAGACAUGCAAGUCGAACGAGAAAGUUCCCUUCGGGGAAUGAGUAAAGUGGCGCACGGGUGAGUAACACGUAGGUAAUCUACCUUCGGGUGGGGAAUAACCCAGGGAAACUUGGGCUAACACCGCAUAAUGCAGCGGCACCACAUGGUGACAGUUGUUAAAGCAGGGGAUUUUAGGACCUCGCGCCUGAAGAGGAGCCUGCGGCGGAUAGCUUGUUGGUAAGGUAACGGCUUACCAAGGCGACGAUCCGUAGCCGGCCUGAGGAGGGCGGUCGGCCACACUGACACUGACAUACGGGUCAGACUCCUA
rnacentral:rRNA from 1 species